AGCGCUGAGGCGCCGUUCGCCCCGCCCGGCGGGUGAGGGACCGCGGGCAAAUUCCCGCCCGGGCGCCCCCGGCGGCUCCCCCGGCGGGAGGGCGGCCUCAGACGGCGGCGGGGUAGAAAUCGUUCGCGUUGUUCUACCAACGCGAACCGCUCGGCUUCCCCCGCAGAAGUAGCCUGGGUGCGGCGAGCGCAGCCACCCGCCCUGCACCGCAGGUAAAAACACUGGGGGCUGCUUUCCCCCCUGGAACCUGACUUUGCUUUGCACGUACUUCCCCCCGCUCCCAGGCGCCAAUCUGCAAGUCUAUCGUAGUACGAGUGACACAGACGGAAAGGCAAGGUAAUGAGGUAAUUCACAACGACAUCCUGAGAAAAUUCAUCUGAUCCUGGGGCUGGCCAGGAUUUCACGAAUACGACAGGUCUGGUGGCUGAAUGUAACAAUGUAUUUCUAAAAAAUGAAAAGAUAUGGGAGCCGAUGGUAGUAAAACCAGAAACAGUACCAACAUUAACAUUUUAAGUGGCUAGAAGGUAACUAACUUUUCCGUUGAAGUGCCUCAGAACUUUCAGGCUUGAAGAGAAAAAAGGUGGGGGGGAAAGGGGAAAGGAAAAAUAAAUACAUGUCAAGCAUGAUAAAAUAACACCAGAUCUGCGAAGCAGUAUUAGAAAGAAUCCCGAAGUCACCAUUUUUCCACUGUCAAAUAUAAGCCUGUCUUACAAGUCCUCUACUAUAAUAAGCAUACCCAACAAAAACAGAACUGAGUGAAAAGUAUGCUUUUUACAAACAACAAACGCGCUAGCACAACAGUUGCCAAUCUGUUACAAGAAGCUUGAAGUCUUAUUACACACUUUGUACAAUACUGUUUUAUUUGGAGUGAAAGGUCACUUCGUGCUCAACUACUUAUGUCCAUGUGCUACACACCCUUAAGGCUGAUAAUGUACAUCAACUUGCAAAAAACAGUAGGAACAAGAAAGCAGGAGGGGAAAAAACUAAUGAUAUACUGGUACCUGAGAAGAAUGUUUCAGGUUAACUCUUUCCUGUAGAUUUAAGAAUUUAGUGAAUGGAGUAAUUUUUACUCUAACAACUGUACCACAGUCUCAAUGUUGGGCAAUGGAACACCUAACCAGAAAAACAGGAUUCAUUGCUACUGGUGGUGUGCAUAAUCUCAGACAAUUGGUUGAAGCAAAGUAUGUCACAAGUUGCUUCUGAUUUUGAAGUUAUCCCAAGUUAGGAACUCAGCCUGAUCUUCCCAACAGAUGCAGAUGUAUCCACGCAGUUGAAAUGAGAGCGGCUGAACCUCGCUGCCAAUGAAAAACAGACCAUUGGUAUUUAGCCCUGAGCACCUGAACUUUACAGGAUGCACAGUCAUAACAUUUUCAGAACCCAGAUUCUCUUGUUACCUGCCUGCUUUACAAAACAGCCCUGAGGAUUAGUUAACAUGUAAAGCUCUUUUCAAAGCACAUUACAGUACCAGUUAUUAUUAAUAGUAAUUAUUAUCAACGUGGGUAAAGUCCUUACUAAUUGAGGCUUUGAGUAUCAGUUCCACAGAGACACCCACUCUUGGUUCUUGCUGAUGUGCCAUAAUGCUUCAGGCAAAUAACUGAUUCUUUGUUUGCCACCAGUUGUAGUAGUUACAACAAUGCUCUUUUUUGGUAUGAAGCACUGUUAUUUCCUCAUUAGGGAGAGAGUGAUUUUUUCCAAAUACAGUCCUGUUAACUCUUGGCAGCCACUGAAGAAUCAGCAGCUCUCAGCUGUUGUGUUUUACUCUAUUGUCCAGAAUGCCAAGCAAAAAACAACAGCAACAUCAACAACAAAAAAAUCACCAUUCCAGCUACAUACUUGAGCACAUAAACCUCUAGUACUUGUUUUGGCAACUUUCCUUACAAGAUCAGUAUAUAUGCCAACUUUUUCACAUGUCUACUUGUUUCAGUUAUGUCUUAUGCAAUAUCAUAAAACUGAAUUUAUUUGUUAAGCCACCUCUUUGUUUUGCAGUGGAUCUGUGUAAAGCCUGCCGCUAACUGUUGAACAAGGGGAUGGAAGAGAAUUUAUCGAAAAGAAAAGCUUUUAAACCACUUGACAGUCUACAUAUAACUCACCCUAUUAAUUCUUGAGCUCCAGCUCCAAGAGUUCUGAAUAAUCACCAGUGACUUUGUUUUCCAGGCACUGCAAUUAGAAACCAUCUGACUUUCACACCUUCCAACUUCUUGUUACAUAAGUAAUCAGUUCACUUCAAAAGAAUCAUUGUUUGAAAGUUUUCCCUUUUCCUUCUUUUGAGGCAUCUCCUUCAAAAGAAAUAAUUUCCAAUUUCUAAAGAUUAACUGCCUAGUUUCAGUAUUACAGUACUUUGAUUCUCAAAUAUAUUCAUCAUUCUUGGAUCAUACUAAGUCAUAAAAGAUACAAAGUUGAGAGUUAUAGGUGAGUUGUAAUAUAUCUAAAAAUAAUUUUUUGAGUCCUGAAGCAGUGCAAAAAUACAUAACUAUGCUAUUCCUCUUUAAAAAGAAUCUGUGUUAUAGAUUGCACUUUUAAAAGCACACAAAACAUCAACCUGUCACUGUGCAAGUCACUGAAACAGCCAGCUCAAAACUCCCUGAGAAAAGAUGUUACCUUGUCAUCUCCAAAGGAUUAGCCUACUGCAUUGAUUUUUAAAGAGAAAUACCGUAUCAGGUAAUGGCACCUGUCAAAAGAAAAGGUAGGGAAAAGUAUUCAAGAGAUGAGAUUUACAGAAUGGAGUUGAAAACUAGGCUUAAGCCUUGCCUGAGGACAAGAUUUCAUGUAAUGUAUCAGAAUGACUUGGUGAUAGCAUCACCCAUUUUAAACCUAAGUUCUCAGUAGUUGCAAAAAAGACAGUAUGAGUAUAAAGCAAGUGGUAGAAGUAGACCAAAAGUCAAAAAGAGUGUCCUUGUUGAGAUUUCUGUCUAUGGGUGAACUUCAAAAAAAGGCUUGAGGGCAGAGAAAAAAGUGCCAAGGAUGUGGACAUGCUCUACCACCUAUGCCGAUAUAUGCCCUAUAACUGCAAUUCUAAGCCAACAAAUGGAUGCAUGUAACCAAGUUCCUUUAAGUAUCUCACAAGCAGACUGUACUAGGUCAGAUUUUUGAAAGCAUGGCAAACUCCCCAAUUUUCUGUAUGAUCUUAAUUUUUUUUUUCCCAUUGGAAAUCUAAGGGACUUGGGGCCAGUGAAGUGAGAAAACAGAAUGGGUAACUUAAUUUUACAAUGGAGAAGCAAAACUGCUCAGAGUCAGUAUUUUCUUCAAUGAAGGAGACUGAUAGCCAUUUCCUCCCCAUUGAAGCUCCAUGCUCAGAGAAGGUACAGUCCAUAAACAUGUCCUACCCUACAAAAAGGCAAGCUUUAAAAUCCCAUUGUACUAUUUGCCUAGAAUGUACUGAAAGCUAAGUGGGAAGAAGCAGGACAUAAAUUGCCUUAAUUAGUGUGCUAUAGUCCCGUGAAUAAAACUGUUGUGAGCCUGUGAGGCCAAA